rnacentral:pre_miRNA from 1 species
CUUAUACUCCCUCCGUUCGGAAUUACUUGUCUUGGAAAUGGAUGUAUCUAGAACUAAAAUACGUCUAGAUACAUCCAUUUUCAAGACAAGUAAUUCCGAACGGAGGGAGUAUUAU